AAAGCUUCCUCCCUCCUUCCUGCCCCUCAGGGCUCUGGCUGCUCUCUGCUCAGUCUCUGAAGGCCAGGAUGAGCUCCCCAUGGCAGCUGCUCUGGCUCCUGGUGCUCUGGGCUCAGGAUUCCCAAGGAGCCAUUGUGCUGACCCAGUCUCCAGCCUCCUUGUCCGCAUCUCCAAGGGAGACAGUCACCAUCAGCUGCAAGGCCAGUCAGAGUGUAUCUGGUUCUAGUUACAGCUACUUAAACUGGUACCAGCAGAAACCUGGCCAAGCCCCCAGGCUGCUCAUCUACCAUGCUAACAACCUGGCAUCCGGGGUCCCUGCCCGGUUCAGUGGCCGUGGGUCUGGGACAGAUUACACUCUCACCAUCAGCAGCCUGGAGCCUGAGGAUGCUGCACAUUAUUACUGUCAGCAGGGUUGGAGCUCCCCUCUCGCACAGUGUUUCAGGCCCGAACAAAAACCUCCCCCGUGUGUCCAGGGGACUCAGCUCAGAGCAGCAGGCCACCAGGAAUCUAGAGCACCCAAAGCGCAUCCCAGGGAUGCUGCUCCCUCAGGCAGAGCUGACUGGGAGCAGGGGAGCCUGGAGCUCCUGCAGCUGGAGAAGUUGGACACCAAGGAGGAGGGCCGGCCCAGCCCCGGGUCAGGCUUUUCCCUAUAG